rnacentral:rRNA from 1 species
GAUGAACGCUGGCGGCGUGCUUAACACAUGCAAGUCGAACGGAAAGGCCCAAGCUUGCUUGGGUACUCGAGUGGCGAACGGGUGAGUAACACGUGGGUGAUCUGCCCUGCACUUCGGGAUAAGCCUGGGAAACUGGGUCUAUUACCGGAUAGGACCACUUCUUGGAUGUUGUGGUGGAAAGUUUUUUCGGUGUGGGAUGAGCUCGCGGCCUAUCAGCUUGUUGGUGGGGUAAUGGCCUACCAAGGCGUCGACGGGUAGCCGGCCUGAGAGGGUGUACGGCCACAUUGGGACUGAGAUACGGCCCAGACUCCUACGGGAGGCAGCAGUGGGGAAUAUUGCACAAUGGGCGCAAGCCUGAUGCAGCGACGCCGCGUGGGGGAUGACGGCCUUCGGGUUGUAAACUCCUUUCGCUAGGGACGAAGCGUUUUGUGACGGUACCUGGAGAAGAAGCACCGGCUAACUACGUG